UGGGGAAUAUUGCACAAUGGGCGCAAGCCUGAUGCAGCCAUGCCGCGUGUAUGAAGAAGGCCUUCGGGUUGUAAAGUACUUUCAGCGGGGAGGAAGGGAGUAAAGUUAAUACCUUUGCUCAUUGACGUUACCCGCAGAAGAAGCACCGGCUAACUCCGUGCCAGCAGCCGCGGUAAUACGGAGGGUGCAAGCGUUAAUCGGAAUUACUGGGCGUAAAGCGCACGCAGGCGGUUUGUUAAGUCAGAUGUGAAAUCCCCGGGCUCAACCUGGGAACUGCAUCUGAUAAUGGCAAGCUUGAGUCUCGUAGAGGGGGGUAGAAUUCCAGGUGUAGCGGUGAAAUGCGUAGAGAUCUGGGGGAAUACCGGUGGCGAAGGCGGCCCCCUGGACGAAAACUGACACUCAGGUGCGAAAGCGUGGGGAGCAAACAGG
rnacentral:rRNA from 1 species